UUCAGCUUCUCUUCAGACUACAGCUAAACUCAAACACAUGAAGUCUUUGAGCUGUUGUUUUAUUGUGUAUGUGUGUGUGGUAGCUAACAGUACAGAUGCCAGUGUGUUAUGGAGCUCAGAGCUGAGCCAGAUUCUCUAUCAGGCACGACUGGAGGACGCUGCAGUCAUUGUGAUAAUAGAAGAGCUGUAGAGUUAGCUGUUCACCUUUCUGUCGUCCUUUGCUUCAAGCCAUCAAGUGCAUCGGGCCAGGUGCUUGGCUGAUUGGGCUCCAGAGCGAUAGAUUGAGAGGUUUGGUUUCAGCAUGACACUGUGUGAAAAAGGAUGACUCCUUUACCUCAGAAAACCUCCCUUCCCAGCGCUGUCAUCCAGCGUGCAUGUAGGUUUGCUUUGUCUUCCUUUGCAGUUUCUCCCUCACUGUAUCUCAUUGAGCGCUCCUUCAACAGCUCUCACCCGUCAGAGUCCUGUCAGACAGGUUUCACUGUAGUUUCAGUGUGAUUCUGUCUUUUUUCUUUUGUACAUUUUUAUGAAAGUAGAUUUUUAUCAGUAUCGUAGAAUUCAUCAUGCCACCAUCAGCCUUUGUUCCUUUGUAGCUAGAAGCCCGCAAGGAGCAUGAACCUCUGCUCACUGCAUUUGUGCAUAUUUCUAUCUAAAUGGUUCAGAAAUAUCCAGAACCUCAGCAUGAAAAACCUCUGCGGCCUCAGCAGUGGGCAACCAACUGAUCUGGCGUCAGGUUUUUGACUUAUCAUGGUGUACUGACUCUAAAUUAAGCUUGACAGUCCAACCUGGAAUCAAUGAGAAUAAAACC